UACGUAGGGUGCAAGCGUUGUCCGGAAUUAUUGGGCGUAAAGAGCUCGUAGGCGGUCUGUCGCGUCGGCUGUGGAAACUCGGGGCUCAACCCCGAGCCUGCAUUCGAUACGGGCUAGCUAGAGUGUGGUAGGGGAGAUCGGAAUUCCUGGUGUAGCGGUGAAAUGCGCAGAUAUCAGGAGGAACACCGGUGGCGAAGGCGGAUCUCUGGGCCGUAACUGACGCUGAGGAGCGAAAGCAUGGGGAGCGAACAGG
rnacentral:rRNA from 1 species